rnacentral:rRNA from 1 species
AUAAUGGGUCAGCGACUUAUAUUCUGUAGCAAGGUUAACCGAAUAGGGGAGCCGAAGGGAAACCGAGUCUUAACUGGGCGUUAAGUUGCAGGGUAUAGACCCGAAACCCGGUGAUCUAGCCAUGGGCAGGUUGAAGGUUGGGUAACACUAACUGGAGGACCGAACCGACUAAUGUUGAAAAAUUAGCGGAUGACUUGUGGCUGGGGGUGAAAGGCCAAUCAAACCGGGAGAUAGCUGGUUCUCCCCGAAAGCUAUUUAGGUAGCGCCUCGUGAAUUCAUCUCCGGGGGUAGAGCACUGUUUCGGCAAGGGGGUCAUCCCGACUUACCAACCCGAUGCAAACUGCGAAUACCGGAGAAUGUUAUCACGGGAGACACACGGCGGGUGCUAACGUCCGUCGUGAAGAGGGAAACAACCCAGACCGCCAGCUAAGGUCCCAAAGUCAUGGUUAAGUGGGAAACGAUGUGGGAAGGCCCAGACAGCCAGGAUGUUGGCUUAGAAGCAGCCAUCAUUUAAAGAAAGCGUAAUAGCUCACUGGUCGAGUCGGCCUGCGCGGAAGAUGUAACGGGGCUAAACCAUGCACCGAAGCUGCGGCAGCGACGCUGAUGCGUUGUUGGGUAGGGGAGCGUUCUGUAAGCCUGCGAAGGUGUGCUGUGAGGCAUGCUGGAGGUAUCAGAAGUGCGAAUGCUGACAUAAGUAACGAUAAAGCGGGUGAAAAGCCCGCUCGCCGGAAGACCAAGGGUUCCUGUCCAACGUUAAUCGGGGCAGGGUGAGUCGACCCCUAAGGCGAGGCCGAAAGGCGUAGUCGAUGGGAAACAGGUUAAUAUUCCUGUACUUGGUGUUACUGCGAAGGGGGGACGGAGAAGGCUAUGUUGGCCGGGCGACGGUUGUCCCGGUUUAAGCGUGUAGGCUGGUUUUCCAGGCAAAUCCGGAAAAUCAAGGCUGAGGCGUGAUGACGAGGCACUACGGUGCUGAAGCAACAAAUGCCCUGCUUCCAGGAAAAGCCUCUAAGCAUCAGGUAACAUCAAAUCGUACCCCAAACCGACACAGGUGGUCAGGUAGAGAAUACCAAGGCGCUUGAGAGAACUCGGGUGAAGGAACUAGGCAAAAUGGUGCCGUAACUUCGGGAGAAGGCACGCUGAUAUGUAGGUGAAGUCCCUCGCGGAUGGAGCUGAAAUCAGUCGAAGAUACCAGCUGGCUGCAACUGUUUAUUAAAAACACAGCACUGUGCAAACACGAAAGUGGACGUAUACGGUGUGACGCCUGCCCGGUGCCGGAAGGUUAAUUGAUGGGGUUAGCGCAAGCGAAGCUCUUGAUCGAAGCCCCGGUAAACGGCGGCCGUAACUAUAACGGUCCUAAGGUAGCGAAAUUCCUUGUCGGGUAAGUUCCGACCUGCACGAAUGGCGUAAUGAUGGCCAGGCUGUCUCCACCCGAGACUCAGUGAAAUUGAACUCGCUGUGAAGAUGCAGUGUACCCGCGGCAAGACGGAAAGACCCCGUGAACCUUUACUAUAGCUUGACACUGAACAUUGAGCCUUGAUGUGUAGGAUAGGUGGGAGGCUUUGAAGUGUGGACGCCAGUCUGCAUGGAGCCGACCUUGAAAUACCACCCUUUAAUGUUUGAUGUUCUAACGUUGACCCGUAAUCCGGGUUGCGGACAGUGUCUGGUGGGUAGUUUGACUGGGGCGGUCUCCUCCUAAAGAGUAACGGAGGAGCACGAAGGUUGGCUAAUCCUGGUCGGACAUCAGGAGGUUAGUGCAAUGGCAUAAGCCAGCUUGACUGCGAGCGUGACGGCGCGAGCAGGUGCGAAAGCAGGUCAUAGUGAUCCGGUGGUUCUGAAUGGAAGGGCCAUCGCUCAACGGAUAAAAGGUACUCCGGGGAUAACAGGCUGAUACCGCCCAAGAGUUCAUAUCGACGGCGGUGUUUGGCACCUCGAUGUCGGCUCAUCACAUCCUGGGGCUGAAGUAGGUCCCAAGGGUAUGGCUGUUCGCCAUUUAAAGUGGUACGCGAGCUGGGUUUAGAACGUCGUGAGACAGUUCGGUCCCUAUCUGCCGUGGGCGCUGGAGAACUGAGGGGGGCUGCUCCUAGUACGAGAGGACCGGAGUGGACGCAUCACUGGUGUUCGGGUUGUCAUGCCAAUGGCACUGCCCGGUAGCUAAAUGCGGAAGAGAUAAGUGCUGAAAGCAUCUAAGCACGAAACUUGCCCCGAGAUGAGUUCUCCCUGACUCCUUGAGAGUCCUGAAGGAACGUUGAAGACGACGACGUUGAUAGGCCGGGUGUGUAAGCGCAGCGAUGCGUUGAGCUAACCGGUACUAAUGAACCGUGAGGCUUAACCUUACAACGCC